CAAUAGCGUAUAUUUAAGUUGUUGCAGUUAAAAAGCUCGUAGUUGGAUUUCGGGUGGGACGCAGCGGUCUCGCAUUGCGUUUGUACUGCUGCAGCCCUCCUUCUUGCCGGGGGCGGCCUCUCGGACUUCACUGUCUGGGGGUCAGAAUCGGCGAUGUUACUUUGAGUAAAUUAGAGUGUUCAAAGCAAGCUUACGCUCUGAAUAUAAUAGCAUGGGAUAACACGACAGGACUCUGGCCUAUCGUGUUGGUCUAUAGGACCAGAGUAAUGAUUAAGAGGGACAGACGGGGGCAUUCGUAUUCCGUUGUCAGAGGUGAAAUUCUUGGAUUUACGGAAGACGAACAUCUGCGAAAGCAUUUGCCAAGGAUGUUUUCAUUG
rnacentral:rRNA from 1 species